rnacentral:lncRNA from 1 species
UGGUUCUUGAGCUAACCUAGAGUUCGCUGGGCUUGCUUAAGACGAGUGUUGAGGUUUAUUAUAGCCAUUGAAGGUUUGUCUGUUUAUGGAGAUAGCCAUCUACCACGAUCCGCUAACGAGAGUCUGACAUUCUGGGUGAUUUGCAAGUUUUCGAGGGAAAAUACAGACCUUUUUAUGCAUGUAAGUAGUCAACAACGGUAGGACCAGUCACCCACCCUACUCUAGGGGGUUAAUUGAAUAACGACUAAAAGCACAAG